ensembl:snoRNA
AUAUCUAUCAGAUGGGCCCGGUCUGUUGUCUGGGGUGAGAUAAAUAAGCCUACAGUACUGUGGUAUGUUAAGCUUAUUGCCUGCUCUGUAUAGCAGUGUGGUUAAACCCAUGUGCCUACACGU